rnacentral:tRNA from 1 species
AUUUAAGUAGUUUAAAAAAAAAUUUUGAUUUGUGGUAUCAAAAAUGUAAUUAUAUUACCUUAAAUU